UUGACGAGACCUAGUCCAGAUCUAGACUAGAUCUACUUGAUCAACGAUUUACACUGAUGUAAAACCUACGUAAAUCAAAUCUACAAGAUCAGGAUUUAUAUUUAGAUCUAGAAAUCUACAUUAUUGACUAGAGAGAAAAAGUUAAAAGUAUGCCUAGUGCGUCGAAAGUUCAUCCAGAAAAAAGGGAAGAUCUGAUUUUUACCAGUAAUAAGACUACAGCAUACUAAAUGACACAAGAUGUUCUUUCUCUAUUACCUCUUACAUUUGACAUAAAAGUAGGAAAAGGUUUAACAGUCUAUGCCUACAACAUAGAUCUCCAGGACUUAAAGUGCACAAAAUGGCAAUCAGUAUAUCACAAGUGUUAUAACACAUGCAUCUAAUCUGCUUCAGUGGCGAGAACUGGUUGAAUCCUCUCAAACAUUAAUCAGGAACUAGGCAUACCUAAUGAGCGUCAAGCUGAUACAGUAGAUGUACAUAAGAAUUUUUACACAAGGAAGUGAAAAGUGAUGUAAAAGGCAACUAAUACUUCCAUCUACCAUAGUUAAACAAGAAUCUGCAAAUGGUGAUAAUUGCAAUAAUCGUGAUAUAUUAAUGUUUGGCUUUAUAAUUAUAUGCAAUUGUCAGGUUUCAUAAAUAAAUUAUU